rnacentral:lncRNA from 1 species
GGGACUGAACAUCGUUCACCGAAUACACUUUGUGAUGCUGGGCUUGAAAUCUACUGUUUUCCUGUCUUAAAAGAGAAUUCUGUGACUCCAUGGAAGACAUCUGAAUUUUGUUAGCAAGGAGUUCUUCUGUAGCUGCACGUUCUCUCUCAACUGCUGCUGCCAGCAAGAAAAACACAUACUUCUUGGAUUUGUGUUUUGGAAACCUGUGACAGUACCUGCUGAAGUUCACCGAUCUCAUGGCGUAAAUAAUCCUCCUUUCUGGCAGCCGCUUGUUCUGUACGCUGCAAUGCAAGCCUAAGGUCCCCCACCUGUAGGAGGAGAAACAAUACAUUCACAAACAAUGUUUUAGGUGAUGAAGUACCUGCUGCCAGAGUUUCCCCUGAAACACACAAAGAAGAGUCUUUUACUUGUGAUUCAGUUGUUUCAGGAGUUCUUGACUGGCCAAUGUGCAAGGAUUCAUGUAAGCUGCUUUUCACUUCUUCUUCUGGUCGUUGUGAUUUUGCUGGAGGUUUUGAUACCACUGGACUCUUCUGAAUGGUCUGGACAUCAGUUGGCGAGAGAAAGGCACUGAAGAAAUUUUCAGAUUCAUCGACCACA